rnacentral:rRNA from 1 species
AGCGAACGCUGGCGGCAGGCCUAACACAUGCAAGUCGAACGAACCUUUCGGGGUUAGUGGCGGACGGGUGAGUAACACGUGGGAACGUGCCUUUAGGUUCGGAAUAACUCAGGGAAACUUGUGCUAAUACCGAAUGUGCCCUUCGGGGGAAAGAUUAAUCGCCUUUAGAGCGGCCCGCGUCUGAUUAGCUAGUUGGUUGAGGUAAUGGCUCACCAAGGCGACGAUCAGUAGCUGGUCUGAGAGGAUGAUCAGCCACAUUGGGACUGACACACGGCCCAAACUCCUACGGGAGGCAGCAGUGGGGAAUCUUGCGCAAUGGGCGAAAGCCUGACGCAGCCAUGCCGCGUGAAUGAUGAAGGUCUUAGGAUUGUAAAAUUCUUUCACCGGGGACGAUAAUGACGGUACCCGGAGAAGAAGCCCCGGCUAACUUCGUG